rnacentral:lncRNA from 1 species
AUGAUUCUCUGUGGUGCUUAUGCAAGAGACAAGGGAGAAACAGGAAGCCAAAGAUUGCCCUCGUGGAACUCAGCUCUUUCGUGGAAGAGGAGUGCCUCUGUCCAGGGCUCAAGGCUUCCGCACACACUGCAAUGGAUGCAGCUACCCGGAUGCAGCUCUGGCUGCCCCUUGUUAUUUCCCUGUGAUGCGACUGGACGCCCGUGCAUGGGUGGGUGGUGCCUGAGAACUCGGCUCCCCGGAAGUGUGUGCAAGGGGGCGGGAUUGAGGCCGGAGCUGAUUGGUCCGUGGGUAUGGUCGGGCUCCUGUUGGCUCACAAAGGUAGCCAGUAGCAGGUGUUCGGGUGAGGGGUUCCAGGCGGGGACGGUGGGGAGGGCGGGGCGAGAGGAGAGGAGAGGAGACCUCGCGAGAUCAGGCAGCCAGGACCAAGCCUCAGCAACGCGUCUAGCGUCGGUUACUGAGGAAUCAAGUGAAAUCAUGCUGGUCGGCAUUCGUCACUCACCAAUUAAACCCUAAUCUAUUUUAUGAAGGGGCAGGGGAUUUAAAAAAGAACCAAUCUGUGUUAUGUUCAUGUGACCACUCCCUGGGAUGACUGCAACCUGCAUGUACUGCAAUCGUAUACUAAUAAAAAAUGAAAUAAAUGCUACCAGGAUAAAAACUCAUAAACUUCACCAUUUUUCUUUUAGACAUCUUUAGUGCAAAAAUAUUUGGUGUAUAUUUGAUACCUCCAUUUUAUAUUCUUGCAUAAACCCAAUUUUUAUCUUUCCCCAGGGACACUACCACACUCACAUGGCAUAAUUAUUCUGUUCACUUUUCAUCAAGUUGAUAUUAUUCUUUUAAAAAAUAAAAAUUGCAUAAUAUGUUUGGUGAGCUUUAUAU